ensembl:antisense Gm17210 predicted gene 17210
CACAAAGAAAGGAAGGUUCUCUUGAAGUAGCAAUCAAGGCAUCAAGGUAAGAGAACGAAAAGUUGGCUUGGAAUCCUAGGAAAGGACCCAUCAGACGGCCUUGAUCCACACCUGUCUCAACUACUGCACAAGCACAUGCUGACCAGUAAGGGGACAAAGACAGGGGAGCCAAGCCAGUCUCCACCCUCUGCUAGCUGUAGUUAGCCACUUGCUUAGCUCCUGGCUUCAUUUUUCUCAGUUACACAACAGAAUUGAACCAGAUAGAUGAUCCUUGGAAACUCUCAGUUAGGAUUCCAUAAUCACUGUUAUCAUUUUUCUGCCUGUGUUAACAAUGUAACUACACAAAUGAAAUUUCCAGGAAAGUAAAUUAAACUUGACCUUAAAUAUA